rnacentral:lncRNA from 10 species
GUUGGUUUUAAGCCUAGACCUCAAGAGGUCUUUUCCACUUCAGCUGGUCUCUUGGAACCCUGCUGCUACCCUGGGAAUACAAAGUGGGGCUGUCCUUCUGGAUCUAGAUAGGCACUAGUCCUAGGCAUCCCCAUUGCUGCAGCCAAUAGCCAGCCAACCUGCAGGAGCAGAGCUGCCUGAAUGACCAGUCGCUUACCGCAGGUCUGUGAGGGAGCCUGGCCAAUCCCAGAACUGCUCAGCUGAACCCACAUCAAUUUGCCGACCAACAGAAUGGGGAAGUUGGACCCAAAGACACAUACACACAGAGGGAAGACAAUGUGAAGACAAAGAGAAGACUGUCAUGAAGGCAAAAACUGUGGUGAUGAAUUUACAAGCCAAGGAGUGCCGAAGAUUGCCAGCAAACCACCAGCAUCUAGGAGAGAGGCACGAAAUAGAUUCUCCCUCACAGCGCUCAGAAGGAAGCAAGUCUCCUGACACCUUGAACUCGGCCUUCUAUCCUUCAGAACUGUGAGGCAAUAAAUGCCUGUUGUUUAAGAUACCUACUUGGGGGUCCUUAGUUAUGGCAGCCCUAGUAAACGCACAUACUCUGUUUUAAUUUUAUCUUUCUGUCUACUUUCUUGUUUACUUACAGUCAUGUGUCACUUAACAACCUGGAUAUGUCCUGAGAAAUGCAUCACUAGACAAUUUUGUCAUUGUAGGAACAUCAUAGAGCUUACUUUCACAAACCAACAUGGUACGGCCUACUACACACUUAGGCUAUAUGGUACAGCCUAUUGUUCCCUAGGCCACUAACCUGUACAGCAUGUUAUGAUACUGAAUACCGUAGGCAGUUGUAACACAAUGAUAUUUGUAUAUCUAAACAUCUGUAAACAUAGAAAGAAUGCUGUAGAAAUAUGGCAUAAAGGAUAAAAAAUGAUACAGUAUAUGGGACAUUUAUCACAAAUGGAACCUGCAGGACUGGGAGUUGCUCUGCAAGAAUAAAUUAUUAAGUUCUGAGUGAAUAUGAAGGCCUAGGACAUUGCUGUACACUACUGCAGACUUUAUACAUGCUGUUCACUUAGGUUGCACUAAGUUUAUUUAAAAAUUAAGUAAUUGCACUAUAAUGUGGGUAUGGCUACACACUAGGCCAGAGGAAUUUUUUUUAGCUCCAUUAUAGUCCUAUGGGACCACCAUUGUGUAGUUGACUGAAACGUUGUUAUGCUGCUCAUGACGAUUUAUUUUACUCUCUCCUCACCUUGGGUCGGGGGGACUUCUUGUUUAAUGCCACACCUGGUCCUUGAUCAUUGUCUGCCACAUGAUUAAUAUUCAGAAAAUGUUCUUGGAACCAAUAAAAGGGAGUUUAUUGAUAUAGCUUAAGGAAAAGCUAGAAAUAUAUUUUUAGAUUUGUAGGUAAGUUUUGAUGAAGCAACUUGAUGAUGUCACCAAAAUCUACUCUCUUUCUCUCUCUCUCUCUCUCUCUCUCUCUCUCUCCCUCUCAGUCUCCUGGAUAGUGAUAUCAGCUUUGUCCUAUGUCUGGCUUCUCUAGUGGAAACCAGAUUGCUCCAACUGCUCCAGAUUUUAUUAGUCAGGAUUUUUAGUUAUAAGCAAAAGUGGCUAACUCUAAAAUAAAUCUUCUAAAAUUAGAAAAGAUUUCACACGAUUUUUGGGGGAACCAAAUACAAUAGAUAGUUGCUCCCUUGGGCUGCUUGCGUCCAUGUUCAAAUUCAGCAGAAGAGAAAACAUGGACUUCUCUGCUAACACAAAUGAAGAUCUGGACCUCAUUCUCACUUGCCUUCAUUGGCUAGAAUGAGGAUGUCAUGGGUUCAUCCUGGGUCCAGUGACCAUAUUACUGUGGCCAGGCGCAAGGGGUAGAGCCUGAAGAUGGGGUCAUUGCCACCAAACUCAAAGACUUACACAGGCUAACUGGGGAGUUUCAGCCUGAAGACAAAACCGAAAAUACUCUCCACAUUUUCCAAAUAUAGAAAGACAUUUAAAAUGUUUUGAGCCACCAGCCACCACCAGCAUUACAUGCACCAAACAAACACUUACCAAGUCUGAACUGGUGUAUUUUCUCUGCUUUUCUUCCAAGUUCUACUCUUCCAGAUUAACUAACUACUUUGUUUACCCUGCAGAACCCAAAUUCAAAUUAAACUGACACUUGCAUUACUUACAUUCCUUUUUCAAAGUGUGGUGACUCAAUAAAUGGAUUUGAAUGGUUUGAAAAGAUUUUCCACCUCUCAAAAGCACCCAACUGACCCUUUAAAGAUACAAACCUCUGUUCAAAAUGGAUAGAUACCUGAAUGUGGGUCUUAAUAUAUAAACCAACCAUUAAACAUGGUUCUAUCUACAAUUCAGAAGAGAGAAGACAGAACAUUUCUCAAUUUAUUUUUUCUUAUUGUUGUGGAGGGAGGAUUAUUCCCUUCACCAAUUGGUUUCAUGUUUUUAAGUUUUCUUGAUUGAUGCUCUGGGUAAAAGCUUCAAAUGAACAAAAUUUCUGCUAAAAGCUGUACUUAUGUGAUUCUCUCAAACCACUAGCAUUUAAAGGCUAGAAAGCACUGGUUUCUG